ACACUGAAGUGCAAUGGAUAGCUCGUUGGACCAAAUCCAAAGGUCGUGGGUUCGAAUCCCACCCGGGGUG